CCGGUCCCCCGCAGCGCGAUGUCUCACACGGGCGGCCGCGAGUCUGGAGAGCCCGAUCGCAGAGCGGAGCUUUCUUGAAAUCUGAACGCUAAUCUUGCCCCAUUGCAGUUGCUUGAUUAAUCUUUUGUCAUCUAUCUACCUCACAUGGACUCUCCCUGAAGCUGAUUGACAUGUACUUACUCCAUGCUAGGAAUGACCAAGUAAACAUCAUGGAAGCGCUGAGGUUUCAGAAUGAUUACAAAAGAGUAAGCGACAGUUAAACCGGAUUGUCCACUGAUUG